GCUCGAUAGCGUCGUCUCUUCUCGUUCGAUUCUUCUGUAAUCUCGUGGACGUCGCCUGCACGCAAGUCCCCGUCGAGCCGGAGAUCAAGGAGGAGGAACCCACGCCCGGCGCCGAGGAGAGCGAGAGCUGAUGGUGUUGGUGAUGGCUGUGCAGGACAAGACGAGUUGUUUGUUUGUUUGCUGUGAUAUAUAUAUAUAUACACACACACACACACACACACACAAACACACACAUACAUUCGAUGAGUGAAUGAGGGGGGCGGGACGCAGGCGACGAGUACGCCUUCGAAGCCACUUCGCGGCAUCCGAAGCCUAGUCCCGCCGCAGCUCGCACAUCUCAUCCAUAGAAGAGGUGGAAAAUGGCUGGAAUGACUGAAGUGCACAAUGGUUAUGCUGCAUGCCAUACAUGCGCUGCCUACUCAACCAAGAGGUCCUCCCCCACUAGCUCGCCUGCGUGAACCUGUGGACCGUGAAAAGGUACACCCUCUCAUCUGAUUCAUCAUAAUUUCUUUGUCCCUCUGUGAGAAUAAUAUCUUCUCAAUUGAAAUCUUUUUUUAGACCUAUACUUAUGCCUGUGUAGUACCUGACAAUAGAUAGUAUUUUACAUUUAUUUUGAUUCUCCUUUUUUUGCGGCUUUUAGGCAAUGCUUAGUUUUCUUUGUAGCAUGACUAUACAAUCCAAAAAGAAUAAAGAUUAAUUUUUGUAGCUUGAAAAAGAAAAAGGGAACAAAGAGAAAAAUUGGCAGUGCUGUAAAUCAGCUGUCAAAUAAUACUAUUAGGAAGUUCUGGUGGCUAGAAUCAUCUUAGACUGAUGAGUUCUGGCCAAAGAUAAGAUAAAAAGACAAGAAGAAACAAGAGAAGCUCUAGAAUGGUGGGCUAAACUUGAAAAUACAGCAAAGCAAAUGCCUAUUUGUGACCUAAAAGAUCAAUUGCAACUACAAGAUUAUAACAUGUAGAACGGGUUCAGUUGACUAGCCCUAUCUUUUUCUGUUCUCUCCAUGAUUCCUUUUUAAACAUAACCUUUAAAAUUGAUCAUGGACAACGUUUGUCGGUUAUGAUCUUGUAGUUACACUUUAUACCAUCUUGUUUUUGACGCAGCCCCUCACAUACCCAAUGGUUGAAACUACAUGAGUAUUCUAUUUAACCUGCCACAUCACCAAUCUUCAUCAAACGGUUCAUGCUUUAUUAGUUUGUACGGUCAAUAACACAUUGAGUUGCAAGGUCAACCAUGCUUUAUGGAUUUGUAUAUUGCACAACUAGGAAAUAACACGUUUAAGAAGUUAGUCUUGAGAUGGAUGUGCGGAUUGACGAAAGAUUAAGAAAUAUUUACAUAUACUCUAGAUCAAGGUUAUAAGUCUGGGUCUGGUACUGGUUCCGGUCAUCUAUGGGACCAAUAUUGUGCCGGCGGAUUGGGCAAUUUAUUGGCCCGUAUUGAUCAGUAUCAGCUGUAAAAUAUAUAAAAAUAAAUAAAUACCGAAUGGUGCUGGGCUGUAUGAUCCAAUGCUAGUCCUUGCUUGGACCAGUAAAUGUGCCACAUCGAUUAUUGUAUUUUCAAAUUUCAUGCCAUCAGACUACAGGAUUUUCAUUUAAAAAAGCUUGGAUUAAGUUGGGAUUUGAGGUUUAAGUAGUAUUUAAACUUAAAAAAUUUGCUCGAUGCUUUUCAUGUUGUUGUUUGAUAUUUAAUAAUUGAAUUGGUUUUAUUGAAUAAAUAAAUGCCAUUUCUUUUCUCAUCCAAAGUUAUAUAUAUUCAUGAGUUAUUAACAUUUUUUUCUCUUGAAAUUGCAUGACUUGCCCCCUGCUGCUUCGAGUGUUCACUAAGGUGUGUAUGCGCUUUGGAUGCCCUGUAAACAUCAACGUUACAGAAUACUUAAAAUCUUUCAUUUUUUUUUGCUUGAUAUUGCCAUUUACAUGCUCUUUAUGCUGGAUUCUGACGCUAUAGUUUGAACAACUUAAGGAAUUCCUAAAAUCUAAGCCCACAAAUAAGUUCAAAAUAGCCCA